rnacentral:rRNA from 1 species
AACCUCUUUCAGCAGGGAAGAAGCGCAAGUGACGGUACCUGCAGAAGAAGCACCGGCUAACUACGUGCCAGCAGCCGCGGUAAUACGUAGGGUGCGAGCGUUGUCCGGAAUUAUUGGGCGUAAAGAGCUCGUAGGCGGCCUGUCGCGUCGGAUGUGAAAGCCCGGGGCUUAACCCCGGGUCUGCAUUCGAUACGGGCAGGCUAGAGUGUGGUAGGGGAGAUCGGAAUUCCUGGUGUAGCGGUGAAAUGCGCAGAUAUCAGGAGGAACACCGGUGGCGAAGGCGGAUCUCUGGGCCAUUACUGACGCUGAGGAGCGAAAGCGUGGGGGAGCGAACAGGAUUAGAUACCCUGGUAGUCCACGCCGUAAACGUUGGGAACUAGGUGUUGGCGACAUUCCACGUCGUCGGUGCCGCAGCUAACGCAUUAAGUUCCCCGCCUGG